GACGAACGCUGGCGGCGUGCUUAACACAUGCAAGUCGAGCGGUGCGGCGAACGGGUGAGUAUCGCGUGAGUAACUGCCCCCCUCUCUGGCAUAACAGUUGGACACGGCUGCUAAUACUGGACAGUGGGGGAUGACUUGCGUCCUAUCAGCAUGUUGGUGUGGUAGUGGCCUACCAAGGCGACGACGGGUAGCCGGCCUGAGAGGGAGACCGGACACAUUGGGCUGGGAUGCGGGCCAAGCUCAUACUGGAGGCAGCAGUGGGGAAUAUAGCACAAUGGGGGAAGCGCGGAAGCAGCAACGCCGCGUGGAGGAUGACGGCGUUCGGGUUGUAAACCGCUUUGAGCCAUGACGCGGUAGUGGCAGAGGAAGCAACGGCUAACUACGGGCCAGCAGCCGCGGUAAUAC
rnacentral:rRNA from 1 species